AGCAGAGAGGACAUGCCUUCUGCUCAAAGGGAUCACUGGACGGGGGUGUUUCCGUCAGUGCCGGCCCCAGACACAGUGACAUGGGGGCUGUACUGAAGGGUUCUUGGGACCCCCAUCCCCCGACAGGUUUACCACCCGGCCCUGCGAUUUAUGAACAAGUUUCAGUGAGAAGCCAACGCCUGGCCUCAGCUGUGCUGCCCUCCGAGGUGGGGCCUCUGCAGGAGAGCACGCUGGUGGAGUGUGCUCAGGGGCCUUGAAACACGGGCUCCGAAAGGCCUGCUGGACCCAGAAGUGACACCACAGGCCCGGUAACUGGCUUUCUUUUAGCGUCCCAGGUUCGUAAGCAAGCUGCCAUUUGCAGCUGGGUGUUCAUGACUGUUCUUGCCGGCCAACGUCACGACCCGUUCCGCGAUCCCGCGCAGGGAAGGUUCGAUCCAGCCAGUGGUGUCUUCAGGGAGGCUAAACCUGACCGACCGGAGCAGACGCCGGCCAUUUCCCGUGAGGCGUUCAGCUCUGGAAAUGGCCUGAGAGGUAACAUAGCCUGAAUCCGUGACGUUACCAAUGUGGAAACUGGGGCCUGGGGAGAGCAGGGACCCUGCUAAAAGGAGCCAUUGAGAAGCGAGGCUAAUUGGCGUCUCCCACCCACCUGUGGGAGCUUCCAGGCGCUGGGCGCGCGGGAGGUGACGGUGCUUCUUUUCCUGGUCUGAGUGUGAGGCUGGCUUGGCCCGGCCCGUGGAAUUCGGGAAGCAGCCCUGCAGGGGUGGCCCGUUGUUUCUCAACACUUUCUGGGAACCUCUGGAUCGGCACAUUCCUGCCCCCGCUGCCAAUCGUGUGGGAGCCCAGAGGAGACGUCAGAGGCCUCGAGUUCGUGGCCUUUCGACCCGCCUGCAGGUGCUUUGGAAGACCUUCCCAGCCGUUUCCCCUGAGUCCAGGGCUGCGUGGACCACUGCAGUGGCCCGGACCAGGUUACCUGCCCAGGCCCUGGAACCCAGAGGAAGCCUGCAGAGUGUCCAGGGAAACCGGCCCAGGCAGCAGACAGGCCAGUGUCCGUGUGCAGCUUGGCCUCGGCCCAGAGGGAAGCUCCGGGGCCCAGGUGACCUGCUGAAGUCGAGGCGGCCAAUUGGAGGACAAGUCCGAGAAACGAGACUUUUCAGCUUAGAACUUUCUGAAAUGUUCAUCUUCUCAUAUCCAGCCUUAGUUUUUCAAAAUCGUGAGUCCUCAACAUUCGUAACCUCCCAGGAUGCGCUCUGACACCAUGGGAGAGAGCAGAGCCCCCCCAGUCAGGAGGCCGGUCCCCAGUGUCUGCCGUCGGCUCCGCGGUGGGGGCGGGCGUGGGGCUUCGGACCCUGGGACCCGUGGUG